UGCAUGUUUUCUUUUCUUUGGAGGGAGAGUGUGAGUGUGGUGGUUUUCUCUUUCUUUACAUGGAUGUAUUCCACAAAUGUUUCUUCACUACAUAUUUUCAGCUGGUGAAAAUUAUUUUUCCUCUGAGUCUGAAAAUAUUUCAAGUAGACCCUGAAUUAAAACUAUGAGGAAAUCACCACUGCAAAACUGGAAUUUUAAAACUAAUGUUUUUGCAAAGAAGAAAAAUAUGUGUUUGUGCCCUUUGGCUGAUCUGUAACUGCAGCAUGGUAUUUUCAGCAUUCCUUUUUUGAACAUGCAAAAUAUUUUCCAACCUCUCAUCCUGUUUUUUUAGGAACUGUGCCAGACUGCAUGCAACUUCUGAAACCAAGGCAGUAGCAGUGUGGCACUAUAAAACUUGCAUAGUCUAUUUUAUUGAAAUAUAUAAUGCCAAGAUGAUGCAUCCUGAAUACACAGGAAAGUGGAGUAAAUUAAGCAGAGCUGGUGAUAAACAUGUUGAUCUCACUGUCUGAAGACCCACUGCUUUUAAUCUUACUCUUUCUCUUGGUCCAGGUGUCUUACGUGCUUAAAGAUUUGUUCCUGACUCAUGUUUCUCAGCUGACCUAUGACCUUGGUUUGGAAAAGACCCAAACCAACCCAAACAACUUGGGGAAGAUUUUAAUCUUAAACUCAAGCUAAAGAAUUUGGGUCUUUUAUUUCCUUCCUGUGCUGAGAGUAGAAUCAUCAGGUUUGAUCAAGAGGCUCUAAAACCUUAAGGGACUCUUGAUGGUGAGAUUCCAGAACUCGGCCCAAGUGGAGGCACAGAUGCUGGAUGUCUGCAAUGAAGAUUUGAGAGUGAAAAGAGUGACAGCAGGUUUAUCUGGAAAAGAAGAUACAGAGCCUCAGUGCAAUGUGCACAGCUCAUUGCUGCUAAGAGAAGGGGGUACAUUAAGAACAUCUCCUGUCCCAACACUUCCUUUUGUGUGAUCUCUAGCUGCCUGG